UACGUAGGGGCGUAGCGUUGUCCGGAUUUAUUGGGCGUAAAGAGCGUGUAGGCGGCCAGGUAGGUCUGGUGUGAAAACUCGAGGCUCAACCUCGAGAUGUCGGCGGAAACCAUCUGGCUAGAGUCCGGAAGAGGAGAAUGGAAUUCCCGGUGUAGCGGUGAAAUGCGCAGAUAUCAGGAAGAACACCCGUGGCGAAGGCGGCUCUCUGGGACGGUACUGACGCUGAGACGCGAAAGCGUGGGGAGCGAACAGG
rnacentral:rRNA from 1 species